GACGAACGCUGGCGGCGUGCUUAACACAUGCAAGUCGAACGGAAAGGCCCUGCUUUUGUGGGGUGCUCGAGUUGCGAACGGGUGAGUAACACGUGAGUACCCUGCCCUUGACUUUGGGAUAACUUCAUGAAACUGGGGCUAAUACCGGAUAGGAGCUCCUGCUUCAUGGUGGGGGUUGGAAAGUUUCGGCGGUUGGGGAUGUACUGGCGGCUUAUCAGCUUGUUGGUUGGGUAGUGGCUUACCAAGGCUUUGACGGGUAGCCGGGCUGGGAGGGUGACCUGACACAUUAGGAUGGGACUGAGGCACAGACUCGUACGGGAGGGAGGAGUGCGGAAGGGUGCACUGUGGGAGGAGGGCAAAUGCGAUCAAGCCACGUGGGGGAUGAGGGGCUGCGGGUUGUGUUGCACAUUCGCCUGUCACGAAGCGAGAAUGACAGUAAUGGGUAAAGAAGCACCGGCUAACUACGUG
rnacentral:rRNA from 1 species